rnacentral:other from 18 species
UUCUCUCUGCCCUGUUCGUGAGGUAUUAAAGCCCCUGCGGAAUAAUCAUUGAACGGGCGCCUUUUUAAGCUGUGGUGUGCUGCCCCUUUGCGGGAAUUGCCUGAAGCAGCAUUAAAGGAGCCCACCUGUUAGGGAACUCGCUGUGAGGCCCCGACCAACGGCAUGGUGGAGAGAUA